rnacentral:misc_RNA from 1 species
UUCUCUGUUGAGGUGAACCAUGCUUACUAAAAUUUAAGUUAAUCAAAUAUCAAAAAAGAUGCCAUCUAUUUUAUGACAAUUGAAGUUAUAAUUAUGUUAUAUAGAAAUUUUAGUUUUAAAGAGUUAUAUCUAGGUCAAUACUUCAUAGAUAUGCAAGUGAAUUGACGUUUACCAUGCCUGGUCUACAUGAAUGAAAGAUUAAAUGCAACAGUUGGUUAUAAAAUAUCAAUUUAUAUAAAAACUUGCCAAACCAUGUAUUGCACAAAUUGCACGUAGUAAAUGUAUCCCUCUCUAUUUAAAAUAAUCAAUAGUCCAAAUGAGUAAGGGAUUUAAGGAAAUCCAAACAAGUAAAGGAUGUUAGAAUGAAUCAUUAGA